GCCAUAGAGCGCAAGUCGCAGAGGCGCAAUCCAAUUCGCAGCAAUGGUUAGGAUGCUGGAUCUUGCCGUGACCAAGGGCUUCGCCGCCCCUGGCAAUGUCAUCGGCCUAGCCUUCGUCUUCGUGGCCGUCGUGGCCGUCGUCGCCAUCGCCGUGUUCAGCUGCUCCGACGGGGCGGACGAGUCAGACGCCAAGCGCAAAAAGAAACGCAAGGCCCAACCCGUCGUUAUUGUUUACGGUGGUGGAGGCUGCUAAGGAUGCGCAUCGUCCACACUAGUCCUCCUCGCGUGAGGGCAAAUGCGUUGCAGAGUAUUCUUACCAUUACGUUCUUUAAUAUUACAGCAAUGUAUUGCAGCCUGUUGUAACUUCUCUAGUACCCUCUCUGUAAACAAAUACAAGAGCAUUUAGGUCACUAUUUAGUGAUCUAAAUGCUCUUAUAUACUUGCACCCGUCCAUGAAAAAAAACACUUGCACUCAUCUAAUUUACAUGUAUGUUCUUUUACUGGAAUAAUUUUGCUUGUUAUCGUAUAUAAUUAAAUAGUUAAUCCCCGAUGCAAAAAGAGAGUUAAACCCAACUACUUUACUUUAACAUACAAACAUACGAUCUGGGCAUAAAUAUUUGCCUUGGGUGUGUGUCGUGUGCGGUGGUGGCGUGUGUUUGUAUCGGUGUGUUUGUA
rnacentral:rRNA from 1 species